GAGAUGACGUAGAGACUGAGUGGAUUCGUGAAGCACUACCAGAUCUAUGAACUUUAAGCUGUUUGUCUUUGGCUGGUCAUCAGUUUAAUUUCUUCACACUUUAGAAAGAAACUACCUAGGAACAACAAUACUUUUGCUGAAAACAAGAACCUCAGUUUGAACUCUAGCACAUGCUUCUUCAAAACGCCAUGCUUGGACUGAAUGUACUCCCGGAGAAGCAGGGCACAGCUUCAGUAACCCGGCGGAGUUGCACCUGGUUGCCUCAAGAGUUAAUUUGGCAGCUUCACUUCCAGGAACUGCUUUCAAAGUUGUUUGUCAUCCCUUUCUGUGGGGGCGCAUAAUGAAACACAGACGUGGGGAAGCAGAGAAAUGCAUGGAGGAUGGAAAACAGGAAAAAGUAUGAAAGAAAAGUCAGUGAAGGGAGUAUAAGGCAAGAUUCAUGGAAGACAAGAAAAAAAUUCACAGAUCAAGACUCCAGAUUUCUGUUCAGCAGCAGUGUAUAAUAACCCUGAUCUCAGAGCUGGAAGUGAGGACACUGAGGGCAAAAUCAGCUAGGUCUUUUUCUUGAGUUCAUGCAUCUUGUGACAUUCUCUGAGGCUCCAUAUCCCUGUCAGACAACCUGCACCGUGGUGAGGAUCAGCAAAGGGCCUGCGAACAGACCUACUUUGGGAAGUAUUCAGAGGUGAUGGGCACCACAAAUUGAGGAAAAGGAGCUGUGAGUCUGUGUUAAGAUAAAUCACAAAAGGAGGGAACAGAAGAGGAAGAACAGCUGCGUGAAGGGUCACUUGUUUAAAAAUGUGAACGUGUACCCACGCCCUCCGAAAGCAAUUCUAACAACUUGCAGUCCCCGCCGUCCCUUUGCGAGCACAGAUGUCGCGUGGACGGGGUACGGCCGCAGCGACAAGAGGUGACCCGCCGCU